CAUGGAGGGUGAGAAUCCCGUUCAUGGUUUAAUUCAAGGUACUAUACGAUACGUUUUCCAAGAGUCGAGUUGUUUGGGAUUGCAGCUCAAAAUGGGAGGUAAAUUUCUCCUAAAGCUAAAUAUUGGCGAGAGACCGAUAGCGAACAAGUACCGUGAGGGAAAGAUGAAAAGAACUUUGAAAAGAGAGUUAAACAGUACGUGAAAUUGUUGAAAGGGAAACGAUUGAAGUCAGUCAUACCAACGGGAAAUCAACCUUUUGAGCUCGGUCUCGUGGGUUUUGAAGAGUUUCAAAGCCUUCGGAUUCGCGGGAUUGGGAUCUCUUGGCGUACUUUUUCGUACGGUUAGUCAACAUCGGUUUUGAAUGUCAUAAAAUGACUGGAGGAAUGUAGCUUCGAUCUCGUAUUGAAGUGUUAUAGCCUUUGGUAGAUGUGAUGUUUGAGACCGAGGAUUGCAACGGAUACCCUUCAGGGCUAUUCGUCUGAUCUCUGAUACGUUGCCUUGAUGUUGAAAACUUGCUUAUGAUGUUAGGGUAUUACGGUCAAAAGGUUAGAACGAAUUACAUUCGUUAAGGAUGUUGACGUA
rnacentral:rRNA from 1 species